rnacentral:tRNA from 1 species
AUUUCUUAUUUAUAUAGUUUAAAAAAAAACAUUAUAUUUUCACUGUAAAAUUGAAUAUUUAUUAUUUUAUAA